UCAAAUCGCUAUGUUGUAUGCUUGAAGCUAUGUAACAUUAUAAAUCAACUAGGCUUCAAUUAAAAAAUAGGAAAAACUGGUUGUUGCUGGGAACCAGGCCUGAUGCCAAGGGUGCCUUGAGAGGGGUCCCUGCAGCCUGUGGGACCCUUGCAGAGAAGGGGCUCCUCCUGGGAGUACAUGUGGCAGGGGACACAGCCCAGAAGACCCCUGAGGGCUGAGGGCUGGGAAUACCAGUUGUGACAGGAGCUAAUCAGACCCAGAGCCCCUGUUUGAUAAUAGGGCAUUUGUUAAAAACUCUUUUUCUAUCUCAAAAUGAAUGGUUAAUAGAACCUCCUUCACUCGAAGCUCAUUUUUACAUCUACAUGAUGGAUGAUACCAUGGAUGGGUGAUUCCAAUGCCCCUCUGCUCAAAGCCACCAGGAAUUCACCUGCUUCAGUGUGGAUGGACAGAGCUGAACAUGAACAAAAAGGUGCAAACAGUGAAGACAAAGAGGCAGAAGACCUAUCUGGUCAGAUCUCCCAUGGAAGCUCAAUGAAAAGGAAAGGGUGUUUGUUCCUUUACAGUUUUGGGCGUGGCUUAGGAGUUGCUUUGCCCGGAGAUGUGGAAUUAACCAGGGGUUUGUCUCCUGAGAUGCUGACACCAAGGUGGCACUGAAUGAGGGAAGAUUCUGUGAGGGGAUCUGCCCAUGAGGAAACAUCGGGAAAGGGAAGAGGAGGCAGGUGGACAGAUGCCAGGAGGACACUGGCUCUGAAGGUGCUCAUAUCUCUGGCAACCCCCUCCCCGUUCCUGUCCUGCAGAGGGGUUCGUGUUUCCCAGACCAGUGUGUGCCUCGGAGCCCUUCUCUGCUUUGUCAUUG
ensembl:lncRNA